AUCAUUAAUUACCUAUAUGAUUAUUUUUCAUUUAAUCAUUUCUCAUAGCUUUGAAUUUUAGGUAGAAUGUGAAUACUUGGUUUUCUGCGAUGCACUAAUAAUGAAGCCUUUUUUCUUUUAAUCCACUUUAGUGAAAUGUCCUAGAAAACACUCAAUGGAUUUUGUAAAAAAGGAACAAAGUGAAUACCAGCGUUUUUCUUAAACUCAGCCUAUAGAGCAGUAUUCCCCAAGCUGGGUCCUUCAGAGACAUUUUGAUUACAGCUGUCAACAAUUUUUCAGUCAGCUUGGCUAAUGAAUUUGUAGUGCCAACUAAUCUGUGGGUUGCCAAAUUUGAGAAGUUGAUUAUAUAGUGUUUCUCAACCUUCUCAACAUUAAAACCUUGGACUUCAACUCCCAGAAUUUCCUAGCUGGCUGGGGAAUUCUGGGAGUUGAAAUUGACACUUCUUAAAGUUACUAAGAAUGAGAGAUACUGUUCUAGGAUGUUGUUCCUUCGUAUGUGUCUGAUUCAAUCUGAAACAAACACAGAUUUCUUUUUCAGCAACUCCACAGAGGCCUAAAAAGAUAAGACUGAUGAUAAGAUAAUGGUGACACGAUUAAAACUCCUUCCCUUCUGUAUCUUUUUGCACUAUUCCAAGUUGCAAUGUAUUUGUUAUUCACUGUUAACCUAACAAUUUUAGUUUAAGCUAACUUUUUUCAAUAAGUCCAAAUAUUCCAUAUUUCAAAGAGCUAUAAAUAAUUCCAAAUCUUGAUGGAAAUAUGAGUACAGUAUCCUCAAAAUUUUCCAGCCCGUUUAAAAAACACUGGACUGCACUUUAUGUUGACAAUAGAAGCAUUUUACUACUCAGAUUCAACAACUUGUCAGAGAAGAUUUUCAAAUGCAUGAUAACUGCAAAUUCAUUCCUCAGAAUACACUUUAAAUACUAUGGGAGAAGCCUGCAAUGUUUAAGAUCAGUGUAUAUAAUACAAAACUAUAUUUAUUAACAAAAUAUUUUUUAUUCUGCUAGUAAAACUACCCAACACUUAGCUUUCCAAAUUUUUGAUUCUAUUAAAUAAAAUAUCUCUGUUCUCCGUCAAAAUACAUUGAAUGUAAAAGGUUACUUGCUAUCUCUAAUUCUUUCCAAACUGUGUUUUCUAUAGUUUCAGUACCCUGCAUUUGAAACUGUUUUUCAAUCCCUUGUCAAUCAUGUUUUUAAAAAUCCUUUUUCAGACUGAUGGAAUUAAGCUAGGCAUUCAAGAGACUAAACUGUUCACCCAAUGAGAUCAAUAGACAGAUCAAUAGAGUCAAAUUGAUUCCUGGAGAGGACCUGUUAAAAAGAUAGACUACAAAAACAACAACACCCUCUACAGGUGCAAAAGUAAAGAAGAUCUCGGGCUGUCCAGUAAUCCAUUGUAGGAAGAGGUUGAAACAUUACAAUAUCCAGGUGGCCAGGGGAUAUUAUAAGAGUUUGGGUGUCUAAUUGAGACUUCCGGCGGUGACGUCAUCACGAAUGGGUGAGGAAAUGGAGGCUCCGUCUCUGAUACCCAAAUUUCCUCAUUAAUAGCUCUUUAAGGGCAUUCCCGAACUUGGAGGGAUCGGGAAACGAAAGAGGAAUUCACGAAGCCCCCUGGUGUUGUGCUG